GCGUUUAGAGGAUCAGUGGCGGCGGGCCCGCGCGGUGCCGGCGACUAGCAGUGAGAUGUCCUGGCCUCUUCCAGGUUUGGAGAUGGGAUGGUGGACCAAUCUCUGGACCUCAGCAGUGUGAGGAUGACAAUGGUAUUCUGUGGUGCUGUUCCCACUCAGGUUGGCUGCUAUCCCUGCUGAUGGAGAGAGGCUGGAGGCUGUCAGAGAAGAUAGUGCCGAUGCAGAGGCCUCCCAGUGAAGUGUGAAGGAAUGGGCCUUAACUAGGGUUGAAGAAAGAAAGUGAAGCCGCCCAAGGAAAGGUGGGGACAGUUGGGACUUUUGGUUACACUCUUCUGGUAUACUUCUCAUGUAUCAUAUGCUAUAAUCUCUCAAUUUCACAUUUAUUGUAGUAAUCUGCAGUGUGUAUGCCCUGGCCAAAUGCUGCUUGGCUAAAAAAGUGUUAAAUAAAACUGUAAGAAACGCUA